rnacentral:tRNA from 1 species
GCCCGGGUAGCUCAGUUGGUCAGAGCAGGCGCCUUGUAAGCGUCAGGUCGUCGGUUCGAAUCCGACCUCGGGCUCAA